CAAUUACUCCCUCCGUCCGAAAAUACUUGUCAUCAAAAUGGACAAAAAGGGAUGUAUCUAGAACUAAAAUACAUCUAGAUACAUCCCCUUUUAUUCAUUUUGAUGACAAGUAUUUCCGGACGGAGGGAAUAUUUU
rnacentral:pre_miRNA from 1 species